rnacentral:rRNA from 1 species
GGGUUGUGAGGUUAAGCGAACAAGCGUACACGGUGGAUGCCCUGGCAGUCAGAGGCGAUGAAGGACGUGCUAAUCUGCGAAAAGCGCCGGUAAGGUGAUAUGAACCGUUAUAACCGGCGAUGUCCGAAUGGGGAAACCCGGUGCACUUCGGUGCAUCAUCGUUAGCUGAAUACAUAGGCUAACGAGGCGAACCGGGGGAACUGAAACAUCUAAGUACCCCGAGGAAAAGAAAUCAACCGAGAUUCCCCCAGUAGCGGCGAGCGAACGGGGAACAGCCCAGAGCCUGAAUCAGCUUGUGUGUCAGUGGAACGGUCUGGAAAGGCCGGCGAUACAGGGUGACAGCCCCGUACACGAAGGCACACAGGCUGUGAGCUCGAUGAGUAGGGCGGGACACGUGAUAUCCUGUCUGAAGAUGGGGGGACCAUCCUCCAAGGCUAAAUACUCCUGACUGACCGAUAGUGAACCAGUACCGUGAGGGAAAGGCGAAAAGAACCCCGGCGAGGGGAGUGAAACAGAACCUGAAACCGUGUACGUACAAGCAGUGGGAGCCUUCGUAAGAGGGUGACUGCGUACCUUUUGUAUAAUGGGUCAGCGACUUAUAUUCUGUAGCAAGGUUAACCGUAUAGGGGAGCCGAAGGGAAACCGAGUCUUAACCGGGCGUUAAGUUGCAGGGUAUAGACCCGAAACCCGGUGAUCUAGCCAUGGGCAGGUUGAAGGUUGGGUAACACUAACUGGAGGACCGAACCGACUAAUGUUGAAAAAUUAGCGGAUGACCUGUGGCUGGGGGUGAAAGGCCAAUCAAACCGGGAGAUAGCUGGUUCUCCCCGAAAGCUAUUUAGGUAGCGCCUCGUGAAUUCAUCUCCGGGGGUAGAGCACUGUUUCGGCUAGGGGGCCAUCCCGGCUUACCAACCCGAUGCAAACUGCGAAUACCGGAGAAUGUUAUCACGGGAGACACACGGCGGGUGCUAACGUCCGUCGUGAAGAGGGAAACAACCCAGACCGCCAGCUAAGGUCCCAAAGUCAUGGUUAAGUGGGAAACGAUGUGGGAAGGCCCAGACAGCCAGGAUGUUGGCUUAGAAGCAGCCAUCAUUUANNNNNNNNNNNNNNNNNNNNNNNNNNNNNNNNNNNNNNNNNNNNNNNNNNNNNNNNNNNNNNNNNNNNNNNNNNNNNNNNNNNNNNNCUCUGUGUUGUUGGGUAGGGGAGCGUUCUGUAAGCCUGCGAAGGUGUGCUGUGAGGCAUGCUGGAGGUAUCAGAAGUGCGAAUGCUGACAUAAGUAACGAUAAAGCGGGUGAAAAGCCCGCUCGCCGGAAGACCAAGGGUUCCUGUCCAACGUUAAUCGGGGCAGGGUGAGUCGACCCCUAAGGCGAGGCCGAAAGGCGUAGUCGAUGGGAAACAGGUUAAUAUUCCUGUACUUGGUGUUACUGCGAAGGGGGGACGGAGAAGGCUAUGUCGGCCGGGCGACGGUUGUCCCGGUUUAAGCGUGUAGGCUGACUUUCCAGGCAAAUCCGGAAGGUUAAGGCUGAGGCGUGAUGACGAGGCACCACGGUGCUGAAGUGACAAAUGCCCUGCUUCCAGGAAAAGCCUCUAAGCAUCAGGUAACAUCAAAUCGUACCCCAAACCGACACAGGUGGUCAGGUAGAGAAUACCAAGGCGCUUGAGAGAACUCGGGUGAAGGAACUAGGCAAAAUGGUGCCGUAACUUCGGGAGAAGGCACGCUGACAUGUAGGUGAAGCCCCUGCGGGUGGAGCUGAAGUCAGUCGAAGAUACCAGCUGGCUGCAACUGUUUAUUAAAAACACAGCACUGUGCAAACACGAAAGUGGACGUAUACGGUGUGACGCCUGCCCGGUGCCGGAAGGUUAAUUGAUGGGGUUAUCGCAAGAGAAGCUCCUGAUCGAAGCCCCGGUAAACGGCGGCCGUAACUAUAACGGUCCUAAGGUAGCGAAAUUCCUUGUCGGGUAAGUUCCGACCUGCACGAAUGGCGUAAUGAUGGCCAGGCUGUCUCCACCCGAGACUCAGUGAAAUUGAACUCGCUGUGAAGAUGCAGUGUACCCGCGGCAAGACGGAAAGACCCCGUGAACCUUUACUACAGCUUGACACUGAACAUUGAGCCUUGAUGUGUAGGAUAGGUGGGAGGCUUUGAAGCGUGGACGCCAGUCUGCGUGGAGCCAACCUUGAAAUACCACCCUUUAAUGUUUGAUGUUCUAACCUGGCGCCGUGAUCCGGCGUGGGGACAGUGUCUGGUGGGUAGUUUGACUGGGGCGGUCUCCUCCCAAAGUGUAACGGAGGAGCACGAAGGUCAGCUAAUCCUGGUCGGACAUCAGGAGGUUAGUGCAAUGGCAUAAGCUGGCUUGACUGCGAGAGUGACGGCUCGAGCAGGUGCGAAAGCAGGUCAUAGUGAUCCGGUGGUUCUGUAUGGAAGGGCCAUCGCUCAACGGAUAAAAGGUACUCCGGGGAUAACAGGCUGAUACCGCCCAAGAGUUCAUAUCGACGGCGGUGUUUGGCACCUCGAUGUCGGCUCAUCACAUCCUGGGGCUGAAGUAGGUCCCAAGGGUAUGGCUGUUCGCCAUUUAAAGUGGUACGCGAGCUGGGUUUAGAACGUCGUGAGACAGUUCGGUCCCUAUCUGCCGUGGGCGCUGGAGAAUUGAGGGGGGCUGCUCCCAGUACGAGAGGACCGGAGUGGACGCAUCACUGGUGUUCGGGUUGUCAUGCCAAUGGCACUGCCCGGUAGCUAAAUGCGGAAGAGAUAAGUGCUGAAAGCAUCUAAGCACGAAACUUGCCCCGAGAUGAGUUCUCCCUGAGACUGUAAGUCUCCUGAAGGAACGUUGAAGACGACGACGUUGAUAGGCCGGGUGUGUAAGCGCAGCGAUGCGUUGAGCUAACCGGUACUAAUGAACCGUGAGGCUUAACCUUACAACGCCAAAGAAGU